AGCUUUUCACGUUUAGUUCUCUACCAGUGUUAUGUAUAUAGCAGCAAUACAAAUCCAUUGAAAUUUGGGGAAAUGGCUCUUAGCAAAACCAAAAUUAUCGAGGAAAUCGACGAUCUGUCCGAAAUGUUUCAAGCUAUGGCUGCUCUUGGUAUUUCGUGUAAAGGAUUAAAAACUUUGGACGACAUGAAAGCCCGAGCAAGAGCUGAAUUAAGUCAGACACCAAAUAAGCCAAGCUGGACAGCAGGACAGGCCUUCUCGAUUUUGUCACAAGCAAAAGACGAAGAUGAAAGGAAAAGAAGAGUGUUGCUGAAUUUUUUCUCUGAAAGCGAGAAUUGUCUGAAGAAACUGGAUUACAGACUUGUUCAAUUGCUAGAGCAGAACAUGGGCCCCAUUGAAGAAAAAAUAAAAAGUCACGAAGAACAACUUAAACAGAAGGAAUACUUUCUUCUUGUGGCAGGUGAGACAGGAUCUGGAAAAAGCAGCUUGGUGAAUCUCAUUCUGGGAGAGAAACUUCUUCCAUAUUCUGUACUCAGUACAACGUCCACCAUAUGCGAACUGAAGUAUGGAGAGCAACGAAGAAUUGUGGCCCACUUUAAGGACAAGGAUCCUAAGACAGGGCUUCCAACUAUGGAGUUCCCUCUACAGGCUGAAUCCUCUGAACAAAGUUAUCUUCAGCAGAUCUCUCAUUAUGUUCACGUGAAGAGUGAUCGAGAAAAAGGUUCAGUUUACAAAAAGAUUGAACUCUUUUGGCCUCACCAGCUUUUGGAGAAAGGCGUAGUAAUAAUUGACAGUCCGGGUGUUGGUGAGUCCGACAUCAUGGAUGGGAUAGUCACGCAGUAUUUACCAGAAGCCUUUGCGUUCAUUUAUGUCAUAAACAGUGCAAACGCUGGAGGAGUUCAGAAAGACAGACUUGAAAAGCUGCUAGAAGACGUGAGAAAAGUGACGCUUGAAGGACAGGGAGGAUUUUCUCCCCAGUGUGCCAUGUUCGUGUGCAACAAGUGGGACCAAAUACCUGAGAAAGAAGCUAGCGAGGUCAGGAAUCAUGUGAUCAAAAAGCUGAAGAACUGUUGGCCUGGUCUUGUUCCCGGGUCACAGAUCAUCCAUAUAUCGACGACGAACGCCAGUAUCGCUCAGAACCACGGAAUAAUCACCGAAGCCUUCUCCGCUCUUAUGAAUUGUAUGAAGUGUAUGGUCUUGAAGAGCAUCGAGGCCAGGCUAGAAAUGCAUUGGAAGUGGUUGGAUUGUCUUCUCUCGCGAGUAAUUUACCAAGGAAAGGUUUUCGUGAUGAACGCUUCUAGAGACCACAAGAACGUACAGCUGAGAAUGAACCUAAUUCUUCGCCGUUUGAGUCAGAUUAAGGCCGAACAAGGUCAAAUCAUUGAAAAGCUUCGCAAAGAUAUGAAAGCCCAUGUUAAUGAUGCUGUAAAGAGGCUCUCCGAAUACCUCAAAUCACCUGAUGUCAGAGCUCGCUUCACCUCAUGGACCUUGGACGAAGUUCCAAAGGCCGAGCACUCCUGGGAAGUGACCAAAAGCAACAUCACAAAAGCGUUACGAGCCCGUCUGAAAGAAAUCGUGGACCAAUGGGAGGAGGAUAACCAAGUGUUUACAAACGCUCGUGAGUCACUUGCACAGCACUUUCAAGAGCGGUACAACUUUGUUGAAGGGCAACUCCGAAAUCUCCAAGGAGCUGCCACAGCUGAGGACCAUGAUAUGCCAGAAAGUAAUCCUCCAGCAAAACCAUUGUUUACAACAGGUGAAAAGGUUAUCAUCGGAGUCGCUAGUCCAAUCUGGGUUCCACUUAGCCUAGUUGCGUUGGUGAUCGGCGCCCCUGUGGUCGGCAUACUGGCGAUUAAAAGCAAGAUAGAAGAUAAAAAUAAAAUUACUAAAUACGAGAGAAACAAGUGUGUUUUUAUGGCAGAAGCGUCCGCAAACUAUCUGGACGGUGUAUCAAACGAAACCGUGCUCAGAUUCUUCGUGAAGGACCAACUGAAGGAGGCUAAGUUGUGUCUGAAGCAAAUUGAAGCCCGCAUUCCAGAGCUUAUCGGGGCUGACGAGCUGUUGUUUAAUCAACUCCGUGACGAAACACGCUCUCAAAAAGAAAUACAAGACCUAUACCAACCAUCAGUGGAUGAGGCGUCUUAUAUCAGAGGACAUCUGGCAUUAUUUGGAUUAAAAGAAGUCCGUGCCGUGGACAUCAGCAGCCAUGAAUUAGACUGGAAAGAAGACAUUUCCCUCCGCCUUGGGUGUGGUGCGUUUGCCACUGUGUAUCAAGGAAUGCUGAAAAAACAUGAAGUGGAGCAAACCGUGGCAUUAAAGGUUUACAACGCAGUGCUUGAUGCCAUAAAUGCAAACCAAAUCAUGGCAGAAGUGGAACUGCUGAGAAAAUUAGACCAUCCUCACAUUGUAAAGUUUUAUGGCACAUCCCUUCUCGACAAAGACGGCAUCACAAGAGUGAUCUUGGUAAUGGAAAAAUGCAGAGGAAACUUAAAGAGUCUCAUAUUUCAUCACCCAGAAGCAGCUCCAGCAAAAUCUAGCAAUCCGGCUGUCUUUAGAGAAGUAUGUCGAUGGGCGAAAGAGAUCAGUGGUGCUCUUGUGUUCAUACACAAACAGGGAAUUAUUCACAGAAACCUCACGCUUGAGAACAUCCUGUUAUCAGAAGAGCACUCAGUGAGGAUUACCGAUGUUGCCGUUUCCAAAGAAGCAAAGAACGUCACGGGUACUUUGACGGGAACCCUUUUCUACAUCGCGCCGGAAGUGUUUCAUUCAAAGCUGUAUGACAGCAAAGUAGACAUUUACAGCUUUGGUCUAAUACUGUGGGAGAUGUGGUAUGGGAAACAGGCUUUCUCUGAAGUGAGGGCUUUCACUGCUAUCGUCGAUGCUGGUCAUCGUCCUAAACAUCUGAAAAACUGCGAGAAGCCUCCGCAGCCCUGGAAAGAAUUGAUGAAGAAAUGCUCGAAUGGAAACGCAGUGGGACGUCCUUCAGCUGAGGAAUGUAACCAAAAGACAACUGAACUGUAUGAACAGCUCGAGGUUGUAGAGUUAGUGUAACAUUUCAUUGUCGAAUGGACUAGUUUCUAGGGAACAGAAUGAAUGAAUGAAAAAAAAAAGGCUAAAUAAUACCUACAGCAUGAAAUCCAAAUUAAAAUUGCUUAAAGAAUCGUAAAAAUAAGGCCUCUUCUUUAUGGGCAAGUUCCGUGUUCCGUAAAGAUGCGUAAAUACAGAGAACGUGUAAAGACUGCGUAAAGGAUAUUAAACGUUCGUAAAGAAUAAGGAUCUAGAUGGAUAUGAUUCACCACUUUCUAGAGAAAUACAUAUUUUCUAGAGAGAUACUCAAAGAAGUGAAAUAAUUAUGUCUUGUCCAUCUUCAAUGGAAAUACCGGAUUAUUUUGAGCUGUUUCUCUUGACACAUUCUUUACGCAUUUUCACUCAUUGUUCUUCACGGACCUUUAAUUUUCUUUACGCCGAUCGAUCUUUACGCGCUUUUAUUAAACGCGUAAAGAUAUACAAACUCGUCUUUACGGUUAGAUUUCAUUAACAACUUCUUUACGAAACGCGUAAAGGUAGUUUUACGCUUCUUUGCAACGAAACUGUUGCAUGAUCAUCGUUUGUUGGCUGUAGUCAUUUCUGAUAUCACCAUUCUCAAAAUUUUAAAAGCCUGUAGACGUCUGGUCCUCACACAAACACGAAUUUAGUGGUUUUCACAUUAGGCACCAGUUUCUCUCGGUUUUCGCGCCAUUUUUAUUUUGGCGUCCUUUCGAAGGUGUGAAAAUGUCGAAGUAAGCACAAGCGUGGAUCGAUCUUUUGAUCAUUUUUCGCUGUUUGAACUCUGCUUCGCCUGAGCAAAAUCCAGUUCACCAUCGGUUCGUUUCCUUCGAUUUCAAGGCAAAGUUUUUGGCCGCAUACAACUGCUGAAGACAGUAUACCCCACACCAGAACAAUCAGUUUUUCUGUUUUUUUUCUUUUUUUUUUUUUUGCUAUAGCUGGAGUACCUUCAGGUAUUUACUCUAAGAAGGAAAGGCCAGUCCCUGCCAGUCUAUUGUUAAAAAACAUAAGAUGAAUUUUAUAGGGAAAUCUUCUGGUGGAAAUUCUUGGUGGAAAAACUCGUUGGCCAGACUCUCUUGGAAUCAUAGAGAAAAUGUGAAAAAUGAAAAACGUUUCGACUCUGUUAUUUUAUCGAAGGUAAAUAUGGUAAUUAUUCUCAUGAGCAUUCGUGGGACUGCUCAGUGUGGACUGUGCAAGCCCUAACGUAAGCUUAGAUUUUUUGGAAGUGUCAGUUUGAUACUUGAUUGACAGUUUCCGACUUUCUACCAGGUCAACAUAAAAGAGUGAGAGCUGGAUUUCAGGUUCAGCAAUAUCUACAGUAGUUCUUUUACAGUAGAUCAGCAGAGUUUACAGUAGAUCAGUAGUGUAUACUGAUCUACUAUACAAUAUAAUUACUUUUACAGUAGUUCAGUUCUUUUACAGUAUACGGCCUUAAUUGAAAGAAGGAGCGUCAUAUUGUUUUCCAUCCUCGGAGACCCAGGGCAGCUAGUCGGGACGAUGUGAUAUUUUAGGGCGUAAGUUUACUUCAAGAGCGGCGCGACUUACCCUAACCGAACCAGUUACAGAAGCGUUGGAAAUCUUGCCGCAGAUUGGCCAGAAUAAUAUUUUUUCUGGCCAGUCAGCGGGGAGGUAUUGCAAGGCGACUCUGUCGCCUUCUUACACGUGGCUUUCCUCAUCGAUCGAGGUAGCUACUUGGCCCGUGCAACGGGAUUAUUCUCGUGGAGAGUUUCAGAAAAAAUGUUCAAAGCAGCCGAGGAAAUCGCAAGCUGGAACAUGGGCGCAAGAAAACAAUACUCGUCGAUCAAUUUUCACGGCGGACACUUACCGAAGGUAUAUCGUAAAUUUUUAUAGCUAAUGUACACGAUUUCUGCACUGUUGUUGGUGGCGCGCGAAGACAGUCUAGCACACAACGUAUUAAUCUCGAACGCUUCUGGAACUGGUUCGGUAAGGUAAAUUCGACAUCAUGGAAAACGAAAGGAGUGUGCCUGCCUUGUGUUGUAACCAUCAUGGAUUUGGCUGUUUGUUGUGAAUGUGUUUUCAAACUUUUCAGGGAGAAGAGAGUUUCUAAACAAGAACAUAAAUUGACCAAGAUGUACUGAAUGAAUGUCUUGAAGUUUAAGCAAAUUAAAUUUCUUUAAACUAGGUUCUCUGUGAGCAUAAAACUAGGAAUUGAAGACUCGCAGACUAGCGACAAAAUUACAAUUCUCUGAAGGUUUGUUUUGUACGGUAAAUCCCCAAACUAGAUUACAGUAAGGUAUGGAAAUAUUAUUGAAUCUUAUAGAAUACGGAGAGAAGAUUUUGAAAGAAAGAAAAUAGACGUAAAUAUUAUA
rnacentral:misc_RNA from 1 species